rnacentral:rRNA from 1 species
AAACUCCUCACUCGGUACUAAGCAAUACUAUACCUCUAUAGAAAAUUUUAUGUUAAAACUAGUAACAAGAAGACAGACCUUCUCUUAAAUGUAAACGUAAAUCAUAAGGACAAACCACUGAUAUUUAACGCUCAAGAACCAGAAGUAAUAACCAACCAAGAAAACUUUACUUUAAUUAACGUUAACCUAACACAAGAGCAUUUCAAGAAAGAUUAAAAGAAAAAGAAGGAACUCGGCAAACUUUAACCUCGCCUGUUUACCAAAAACAUCACCUCUUGAUAAUAAUGAGAGGCCCAGCCUGCCCAGUGACCCAGUUCAACGGCCGCGGUAUCCUAACCGUGCGAAGGUAGCGUAAUCACUUGUUCUUUAAAUAAGGACUAGUAUGAACGGCAUCACGAGGGUUAUGCUGUCUCCUUUUUCCGAUCAGUGAAACUAAUUUCCCCGUGAAGAAGCGGGGAUAAAAUUAUAAGACGAGAAGACCCUAUGGAGCUUCAAACAACACAACAAAUGCCAAACAACUUAAAAAUUUCAUAACUCCAAAUUUACUCAGCAUUAUGAUUGUUAGUUUUAGGUUGGGGUGACCGCGGAGCAAAACACAACCUCCACAUUGAAAGAAUUUUAUUCUAAGCCAAGAACCACAACUCAAAGCAUCUAUAUAUUGACAUUAAUUGACCCAAUAAACUUGAACAACGAACCAAGUUACCCUAGGGAUAACAGCGCAAUCUACUUCAAGAGCCCCUAUCGACAAGUAGGUUUACGACCUCGAUGUUGGAUCAGGGUCUCCAAGUGGUGCAGCCGCUACUAAA